UGUUGGUGAAAGUGUUAAAAAAAGUAAAAAACAAAAGAAAAAAAAGAAAGAAAAAGAUAAAAAGAAAAGUUUACAAAUCGAAGGAAAUGAAUUGAUUAAUGG
rnacentral:ribozyme from 1 species